AAGGAGUCUAACAUGUAUGCGAGUAUUUGGGUGUCAAGCCCUUGUGCGUAAUGAAAGUGAACGGAGGGAUAUUUGCACCAUCGACCGGCCUGGAUUUCUUUGAAAGAUCCGAGUAAGAGCAUGCAUGCUGGGACCCGAAAGAUGGUGAACUAUGCCUGAAUAGGGUGAAGCCAGAGGAAACUCUGGUGGAGGCUCGUAGCGAUUCUGACGCGCAAAUCGAUCGUCAAAUUUGGGUAUAGGGGCGAAAGACUAAUCGAACCAUCUAGUAGCUGGUUCCCUC
rnacentral:misc_RNA from 1 species